GCCUGGGUCUCUCCGUCGGUAGAGCAUCAGACUUGUAAUCUGAGGGUCUGGGGCUCAUAUCCCUGUUCAGGCG
rnacentral:tRNA from 1 species